UACGUAGGGUGCAAGCGUUAAUCGGAAUUACUGGGCGUAAAGCGUGCGCAGGCGGUAAUGUAAGACAGGUGUGAAAUCCCCGGGCUUAACCUGGGAACUGCAUUUGUGACUGCAUUGCUGGAGUGCGGCAGAGGGGGAUGGAAUUCCGCGUGUAGCAGUGAAAUGCGUAGAUAUGCGGAGGAACACCGAUGGCGAAGGCAAUCCCCUGGGCCUGCACUGACGCUCAUGCACGAAAGCGUGGGGAGCAAACAGG
rnacentral:rRNA from 1 species